CAUAAAUACCAUUUCCUUUAUUGUCUUUUCUAGAACGAGUUGUCUGUGCGUAACUCUACAACAAAAUGCUUUACGAAUUGGCACUUGAGACCCUUAAUAUAGUGUUCGAUAUCUUUCAGAAGUUGAAGAAUGCAACUGCCAACUACGAAGUGUGGAACCUAAUUGCACUUGAGGAAAUCAUUUAAAUUUGUGACAAAUGCACAGAUUGAUGACGACGUUCCCGUUGCGGGUGCUGGCUGCUGAUGGUUGGGGGGGAUGGCGUUUUUGUCAGGCAUAGCCAAAGCCAGAGAGAGAGAGAGAGAGCCCAUUGAGUAAUACGUCACUUGAGUUGUCAAAAGAGCGACGCCCGACGAGUAGAAAAACGUGUGUAGCCCCCACCAUCACCAUCCCAACCAGAGGCAAAGGCAACACGCAUCCGUCUCCCCGUACGUGUUCCUGUAGCCGGUAUUUCCGCACAAGUUGCUGUCGAUCAGGACGUCGGCGGGUGGCACAAGUUGUUACAUUUCAACAUGUUUCGUUACGCCUUGAAAUCAUUUUGAUACUUGUAUUUUGAUCUCUUUUUUGUGUUAUGGCAUAAAACUGUUUUUUUUUUUUAAGUAGCGUCUUAGUUGAAGUGCAUGUCUGUGUUUUUAGGAGGGUCCAAAACUAUGAGGAGGGGAUGUUUCAUUUUUAUAAACAAUUUUCCA